GUACUAACUUCAGCAGCACAUAUACUAAUUGGAAUGAUACGAGAAGAUUUGCAUGGCUCCUGGGCAAGGAUGACAUGCAAAUUCGUGAAAUAUCUAUCCUUUUG